rnacentral:rRNA from 1 species
AGAGUUUGAUCCUGGCUCAGAUCGAACGCUGGCGGCGUGGCUAAAACAUGCAAGUCGCACGGAAAGGCUUUUUCGGAUCCUUCGGGUGAAGAAAAAGUACUCGAGUGGCGGAAGGGCGAGUAAUGUAUGGAUAACGUACCCCAGGCACCGGGAUAGCAGCGGGAAACUGUUGGUAAUACCGGAUGAUGUUCCAAACCCCUUGGGGCUUGGAAUCAAAGGAUGGCCUCUACUUGUAAGCUAUCGGCGUGGGAGCGGUCCAUAUCCUAUCAGCUAGUUGGCGGGGUAACGGCCCACCAAGGCAACGACGGGUAGCGGGACUGAGAGGUUGACCCGCCGCAUUGGGACUGAGACACUGCCCAGACUCCUACGGGAGGCUGCAGUAACGAAUAUUGGACAAUGAGCGAAAGCUUGAUCCAGCGACGCCGCGUGCAGGAAGAAGUCCUUCGGGAUGUAAACUGCUGUCAGGGACCACCAAGCAAGGAAGGUUAAUACCCUUCUGCGUUGAGGACUCCCAGAGGAAGCCACGGCUAACUUCGUGCCAGCAGCCGCGGUAAUACGAAGGUGGCGAGCGUUGUUCGGAAUCACUGGGCUUAAAGCGUGUGUAGGCGGACUGUCAAGCGUUUUGUGAAAGCCCUCGGCUUAACCGGGGAAAUUGCUGACGAACUGAUAGUCUUGANGCAGGGUAGGGGCAACUGGAACUCUUGUGGGAGCGUGGAAUGCGUAGAUAUCAGAGGGACGCCCAGAAGCGAAGGCGAGUGCUGGGCCCUGUCCUGACGCUGAGACACGAAGCCCAGGGGAGCGAACGGGAUUAGAUACCCCGGUAGUCCUGGCCCUAAACGAUGUCCACUAGAUCGAAGGCACUCUGACGUGUUCUGGGUCGAAAUGAAAACGGUAAGUGGACCGCCUGGGGAGUACGGUCGCAAGGCUAAAACUCAAAGGAAUUGAUGGGGGCUCACACAAGCGGUGGAGCAUGUUGCUUAAUUCGAUGCAACGCGAAGAACCUUAUCCUAGGCUUGACAUAUACGAAUGCCUACUGGGAAACCAGGUCGGCUGCCCUUCGGGGUGAAACGUAUACAGGUGCUGCAUGGCUGUCGUCAGCUCGUGUCGUGAGAUGUUGGGUUAAGUCCCGUAACGAGCGAAACCCUUGUCGUUAGUUGCCAGCGCGUAAUGGCGGGGACUCUAACGAGACUGCCGGUGUUAAACCGGAGGAAGGUGGGGAUGACGUCAAGUCCUCAUGGCCUUUAUGCCUAGGGCUGCAAACGUGCUACAAUGGCCGGUACAAAACGAAGCGAGACCGCGAGGUGGAGCAAAUCGUAAAAAACCGGCCCCAGUUCGGAUUGGAGUCUGCAACUCGACUCCAUGAAGUUGGAAUCGCUAGUAAUCGCGUAUCAGCGUGACGCGGUGAAUGUGUUCCUGAGCCUUGUACACACCGCCCGUCAAGUCAUGGAAGCCGGGAGCACCCGAAGUCGGGGCAUUUCAGCCCUGCCGAAGGUGAGUUCGGUAACUGGGACUAAGUCGUAACAAGG